AUUGAACGCUGGCGGCAUGCCUUACACAUGCAAGUCGAACGGCAGCACGGGUGCUUGCACCUGGUGGCGAGUGGCGAACGGGUGAGUAAUACAUCGGAACGUACCUUAUCGUGGGGGAUAACGCAGCGAAAGCUGUGCUAAUACCGCAUACGCCCUGAGGGGGAAAGCGGGGGAUCGCAAGACCUCGCGCGAUUAGAGCGGCCGAUGCCUGAUUAGCUUGUUGGUGGGGUAAAAGCCCACCAAGGCGACGAUCAGUAGCUGGUCUGAGAGGACGAUCAGCCACACUGGGACUGAGACACGGCCCAGACUCCUACGGGAGGCAGCAGUGGGGAAUUUUGGACAAUGGGGGCAACCCUGAUCCAGCAAUGCCGCGUGAGGGGAGAAGGCCUUCGGGUUGUAAAGCUCUUUUGUCAGGGAAGAAACACCGGCUCUAACACAGUCUGGGAAUGACGGUACCUGAAGAAUAAGCACCGGCUAACUACGUGCCAGCAGCCGCCGUAA
rnacentral:rRNA from 1 species